rnacentral:rRNA from 1 species
UACGUAGGGGGCAAGCGUUGUCCGGAAUCAUUGGGCGUAAAGCGCGUGUAGGCGGUUCGGUAAGUCGGCUGUGAAAGUCCAGGGCUCAACCCUGGGAUGCCGGUCGAUACUGCCGGACUAGAGUUCGGAAGAGGCGAGUGGAAUUCCCGGUGUAGCGGUGAAAUGCGCAGAUAUCGGGGAGGAACACCAAUGGCGAAGGCAGCUCGCUGGGACGUUACUGACGCUGAGACGCGAAAGCGUGGGGAGCAAACAGG